rnacentral:sRNA from 1 species
AAGUUUUGUAAGCAUCCUCUGA